UCCAGACUCCUACGGGAGGCAGCAGUGGGGAAUAUUGCACAAUGGGGGGAACCCUGAUGCAGCGACGCCGCGUGGGUGAAGGAGCACCUCGGUGCGUAAAGCCCUAUCGGCAGGGAAGAAAAGCGAACAGGUUCGCCUGGACGGUAACUGACUAAGAAGCCCCGGCUAAAUACGUGCCAGCAGCCGCGGUAAUACGGAGGGGGCAAGCGUUAUCCGGAUUCACUGGGUGUAAAGGGAGCGUAGACGGCGACGCAAGUCUGGAGUGAAAGCCCGGGGCCCAACCCCGGGACUGCAUUUGGAACUGCGUGGCUUGAGUGUCGGAGAGGCAGGCGGAAUUCCUAGUGUAGCGGUGAAAUGCGUAGAUAUUAGGAGGAACACCAGUGGCGAAGGCGGCUUACUGGACUGUAACUGACGUUGAGGCUCGAAAGCGUGGGGAGCAAACAGGAUUAGAUACCCCGGUAA
rnacentral:rRNA from 1 species